rnacentral:rRNA from 1 species
UACGUAGGGUGCAAGCGUUGUCCGGAAUUAUUGGGCGUAAAGAGCUUGUAGGCGGUUUGUCGCGUCUGCUGUGAAAUUUCGGGGCUCAACCCCGAACUUGCAGUGGGUACGGACAGACUAGAGUGUGGUAGGGGAGACUGGAAUUCCUGGUGUAGCGGUGAAAUGCGUAGAUAUCUGGAGGAACACCGGUGGCGAAGGCGGCGUCCUGGACCAACACUGACACUGACAGCGCGAAAGCCAGGGGAGCAAACGGG